AUGCCCUACAUUUUAGUGACGCCGUUGUCAAUCCACCUACUGCCUGGCACCACCGACCACUUGUCCAUAGCCGCCACCCACGCGAAGCUCCUGAAGAUCGGCAAUGCCUCCGCUGUCUCUUCUUGCUACCACAUCAUCGCUGCUUACUGCCGAUGCGGUGCAACAGCCCGUGCCCAUUGCCUGUUUGACAGAAUGGACGUUGUCUCCUGGAUGGCCCUCGUAUCCGGGUACUCUAGCACUGGCCAACCCUGCCUGGCUGUUUCCCUCCCCCGUGACAUGUCUCACAGCGGCGUGCCACCGAAUGCCUUCAACUUCUCGACUGCCAUCAGCAGGUGUGCAUGCCUUGCUGAUGCUGGACUUGGGUGGAAAGUGCAUGCCCGUGCUGAGGUCGAGGACUAUGCAUCUGACGCCAUCGCCACCGCGCUCAUUGACAUGUAUGGCAAGACCGGAGAUGUGGAGGGUGCACGUGCAUUGUUUGAUGGAAUGGCUGCUCCAGCGAAGAAUAUGGUGUCCUGGGGCUCGGUACUGUUUGUAUACGUACAGAAUGCACUUGGGCGCGAGGUCAUCCAACUUUUUGUCGAGUUCAGAACCAAAAGCAACUCCAUGGCGCCCAACCACUUGAUGUUGUCAAGCGUUGUGAAUGCAUGUGCAGAGGCGGGCUGGCUUGGAGCUGGCAAGUCUGUGCAUGGAACAGUCCUUUGGUUUGGGCAUGGAUGCAAUGGCGUGAUUGUUGAGGAUUUGGUUGACAUGUAUUCCAAGUAUGGAUUCUACAAGUACUCAGGAAAGUUGUUCAACAGGAUUAAGCAGCCGUCGGUUUUCUGCUAUCCCUCCAUCAUCGUAGCAGCAGCAAAGUACGGUUUUGGGAGGUGCGUACUCACUUUUUUCAAUGAGAUGAUCGAUCGAGUUGUGCAACCAAACAGUGUUACACUGCUUGGCGUCAUGCACGUUUGCAGCCAUUCAGAUCUUGUUGACACCGGCCUCCAUCUCCUCUACUCCAUGCAGAGCAAAUAUGGCGUCAGUCCAUGAGCCAGCCAGUACAUAUGUGCAGUUGACAUGCUCAGCCGAGCAGGACGGCUUGAGGAGGCAUUUGAGCUGGCCAACGAGGCGCAGGUCGAACAUCGUGACGCCCUCAUGCUGUAGAGCUCAUUGAUGUCAGCUUGCCGGACACACAAGCACUUAGAUCUAGCCGCCAGGGCGGGCCACAGAGUGUCAUAGUUCAACCGGGAUGUAGCAGGUGCACCGGUAGUGGUGUCAAAUGCAUACAUUUCAGCCGGCCAGGCUGACAAUGCUUUUGCUGAAUGGUCGAACAUGGGGCGACAAGGCAUACCCUGUGUGCAGUUGGAUUGA
rnacentral:rRNA from 1 species